AGUGAACGCUGGCGGCAGGCCUAACACAUGCAAGUCGAACGGCAGCACAGAGGAGCUUGCUCCUUGGGUGGCGAGUGGCGGACGGGUGAGGAAUACGUCGGAAUCUGCCUAUUUGUGGGGGAUAACGUAGGGAAACUUACGCUAAUACCGCAUACGACCUUAGGGUGAAAGCGGAGGACCUUCGGGCUUCGCGCAGAUAGAUGAGCCGACGUCGGAUUAGCUAGUUGGCGGGGUAAAGGCCCACCAAGGCGACGAUCCGUAGCUGGUCUGAGAGGAUGAUCAGCCACACUGGAACUGAGACACGGUCCAGACUCCUACGGGAGGCAGCAGUGGGGAAUAUUGGACAAUGGGCGCAAGCCUGAUCCAGCCAUGCCGCGUGUGUGAAGAAGGCCUGGU
rnacentral:rRNA from 1 species